CAACAAUUAGGGUGAGAAUUUGCUAUUCAUAUCCCAUAUCUUUAGUAUAUUAUGUUUAGAUUGUGUUUUGUUUAUUUGCUAGGUAAUCUGCUUUGAUCUGUUUGCUAUCCCAAAUCAUAGAAUAUCAGGGUUGGAAGGGACCUCAGGAGGUCAUCU